UGUGAUUCAUGAAGCUAAGUAUGGAUCUUAACCAGUUAUUAAAGCCAUUCAGCGUUAGCUGGUUUCAGUUUAAAAUUUUGAUUGAAAAAGUGAUCAAUAAUGAACAGUAAAUUUACACAGGCCUUCAGUCUAGAUUCACCCAAUCGGAGUGAAAAGAGUGACUUUUCGCAACAGGAUAAACAUAGUAAAUCAUGUGCAACUAGAGUCAACAAUCACUGGAAAACCAAUGACAAUAAAAGUCAAUCCAUGUCAAAGUUCAAGAAGCCAGGCUCUGGAGUCGAGUUGGUUGACCAAGCAACCAACUAUAUGUGGUGAUUUGAUUAACAGCCAAGUGUUAUCGCCAUUUUUCGAUUAAUUAAGUUUUGUAAAUUUCAAUCAGCAUUAAAAUGCUUAUGGAAAUAUUUUAAUAACCAUUUUACCCAGAUUUAGUUGGAUUCAUUAAUAUUAACUUUUAUUGCCUAACAGUAAAGGAAGCUAAUUCUUGAGUAUUAACUUUUGUUGCCAUAAAUAUUGAAGUAUUCAAUCUCAAGAGUUGUAUCUCAUUGCUCAAAUAAAUAAACGGAAACAAUUAA